rnacentral:rRNA from 1 species
UACAGAGGUCCCAAGCGUUGUUCGGAUUCACUGGGCGUAAAGGGUGCGUAGGUGGCGCCAUAAGUCAGGUGUGAAAUCUCGGGGCUCAACUCCGAAACUGCACUUGAUACUGUGGUGCUCGAGUACUGGAGAGGAGAUUGGAAUUUACGGUGUAGCAGUGAAAUGCGUAGAUAUCGUAAGGAAGACCAGUGGCGAAGGCGAAUCUCUGGACAGUUACUGACACUGAGGCACGAAGGCCAGGGGAGCAAACGGG